CUAACUUAAAACUAAAAACUGUUUUUAGGGGACUGUUUUGAGGGUCUCGGUUCUAAAUGAUUUCAUGACCUAGCUUAAGGUCUUGCUAGCUUAUAAAGGUGAUUAAUCAACUAGCUAAUCAACCCCUUAAGCCCUUAAACAACACUCCAAACUUCAACGACAAGACCCUUACAACUCACUAGUUCAAACGACUAGUUUCCGGACGUCACUGUCAUUUCUCAUCAUUUCAUCAAGUUCUCAACUCCAAACUCACAUGUGAGGCUCUAGUUUCACUAGUUC
rnacentral:lncRNA from 1 species